rnacentral:lncRNA from 1 species
AGAUGAUCAGGCAGAUCGAUGGGCUCAUCGCCCAGCUGGAGGCGGACCAGCAGGCUGGCAGGCUGGGCGCAGCUGAGACCACGCCCGUGGGGAAGAAUGUCAUCAGUGUCAGAGCUCAUCAGUGCCAUGAAACAAAUCAAGCACAUCCGGAAAACAAGCUGGUCAGCUUGGCCUCUCUAAAUGGACUCAAGCCCUGCAGGACUUUGAACCAACAAUCUUUGUUUGCAUCCCAUUUCCAUCUUUCAGAUGUGACAAAUCCAUCCUGCCAAACGGUGACUACCUUCCAGGCUUCCAAGUUUGGGCACUGAAAGUCCCACAUCCCAGGAAAGCGCACAGUCCCAAGCAAACCGGAAUGCUCCAAAUUAAAGUGUUGUUCCAGCCACCUGACUGCUCAGGCUCCCUCCCAAAGGGACAGAGUGAAAAAUGAAAGAAGAAAGACAUUCCAACCUGCCAGGCAGGAAAUUUGCCUCCAGGUGAACGGCUUCAUCUUUACAUCCAACAGACCCUCAGUUCGGAGGGGGCGCAUCCUACAUCCAGAAGGAAAAAGGCU